CAGCACAGAAGCAGACAGCGAUGCUGCAGGGGGAGGGGGAUAUUAAAAUGCAUGUGCACAGCUUGGCUUUGCAGCAGAUGUUGGCAUAAUUAGAGAGGAAAAAAUUAUGAAAUUAAUUUGCGGUUCAAUGUAAAUUUCAGUGAUGGGGGAAAGCUGGGCUCCAGUCACCUCAUGAGCACAGAUAGACAUGCACAUAUGCACACACGCAUGCACACGCACACACACAUGGACACAUGAACACACAUGCACACACGCGCACAUGCGCACACACAUGAACGUGCACACACACGCACACACGAGCACACACGCACACACACAUACACGGACACCCCAGCCACCAGGGAAGGGGUAAUUGUCAGUCUCAUGCAAGGAGAGAGGAUCUGGCAUGAGCAGCAGGGUGCCGGGAGUAGAGGGUGGGAUUCUGCCUCUUAAAAGCUCAAAGGCAGGGGACAGCGCCCCUCCCCAGGGUCCCAGGCUCACAUCCUCAGGUACGGGGAGGGUGGCCCCUGGCUUAGGUCUGAGCCACAGGGCUCCCUGAGUGUUCCCCACGCUUCCAGUGUGCAGGGCCCUUCUCCCACUUCCAGCAGGUGAGGACAGGUAGAGGGGUGGACGCCACCACACCAAUGAGAGGAGAGGAGCUGGGAGGUGAAGGCAGUGCGGGAUUUGGAGGAGACAGUGGCGUUGGCUGUUCUGGGGGAUGUCAGGCCGGGAGACGAAAGGAGGUGGCAAUGGGGAGUCAUGGAAAAUUCUGGAACGGGGGCGGUGGGAACGGCGCUGCCUGGGACUCUCGAGCCCCUUGCUCAGAGGUCACGUUCUUCCAGCUGUCCUCCCUCUGUGGCUCCGAGGUCCUUACUGUUGCUCCCGCCCCCACCCCCAGGCCCCCAGCUUCGCUGAGGCCACACACAGGCAGCCUCACCAGGAAACUCUGGCUCUCCCCAUCCCCCUCAUCCUGCCCUCCACCAUUCAGCUGACUGAGGGACCCUCCACACCUCGGUUUCCCUAUCUGCUCCAUGAGGGCCAGGUGGAGGCCAGAUGGGGGCUUUCCACCUGCUGCCCGGGGUGCUGUGCCAAGGACAGGAGGAGAGGUCUGUGAAUGCAGCCCUGCUCUGCCAGUGUCAGGACACCCACCCCGGCCGAGGAAUCACCCCAGUGUCCCCCUGCCGGCCUCAGGACACCCACCCCGGCUGAGGAAUCACCCCACUGUCCCCCUGCCGGCCUCAGGACACCCACCCCGGCUGAGGAAUCACCCCACUGUCCCCUUCGGUGUCCCCAGCCAGAGCCUCAGACUCCGUAGACUCCAUCCCCACCUGCCAGGUCUCUUCCUUCCUCAUCCUGAUGCAUUCAUAGUGCGAUGCUAGGCCUUCUCCUCCAGGAAGCCUUCCCUGACCACCCUCUGAGGGCAGGGUGCUCACAGUCUGGAUCAGUCACGGCCGGCUGCAUUAUCAAUGGGGCCUGUGCCCUGCACAGUCCUGAGCUCGUCUGCAUGGGGCUGCCGGCCUCUAGCAAGGUGCACCGGGGUGUGAGGCGCAGGCGGAGAGGUGCGGGCAGGCUAGGGGUUUGCUCCAUUCUCUUGGCCACCUGAAAGUCAUCAACAUGGCAGGUUCUCUGCUGACCCUUCUGGACCCAGGGAGGCUAGGAGAUGGACCCCCCAAGAACCAAGUGUUAGAGGUCGAGACACCCCAGGAGACAGGCGCUGAGAAACCACAGCCCUGCAGUGAGUGCUGGUCAGGGAGGGGUCCUGCCUGGCCCCUGUAGUGUCCUGAGCCUGAUCUCCACUGUCCUGGGGUGGCUGAGGAGCCCUUCUGCAGGGUGCUGGACAGCGGCUCCAGUCCUGGUCGGGUCAGUUUUGUGUUUUGGAUGGUGCCCCAUGGUCCUAGUCACCCAGCUGUGGCUUCGAUAUGACACAGGGCAGGGGGGUGAAUGUGCUUUAAGGAGGGCCCCGGCCCUAGGUGGACACAGGUGCACAGAGAAGACAGGGCCCCAGAGGGUCUCAGUGAUCUGUCCAGGACCUGGGCCCGUGGGCUGUGGCGCCGAGGCUGGACACCAGGUCUGUGUGGACACAGCGUCUGUGCUGCCUACUGUGGACGGGCACAGGCCUUUGUGAGGGGGUCCAGCUGGAGGUUCCUUGACCACACCCCUCCUGAGACGCUCCUGGUCCCUUGUGCCCAUGAUAUCCGGGCUCAGGUGGCCACCACCCCCUAAGCUCUGCCCUGGAUCCCACAGUGCUGGCUGCUGGCCCUCUCCGAGGUGCUGAAAUGGCGUCCGGCGUCUGCCUCAGAUGCAGUGGAGGCCGCUGAGGUCUGGGAGCCUCCACAUUUUCCGAUGUUUGCUUUCUAAAGGGUGAGGAGAGGAGCGUGCGGGGAGGAGCGAGCACCUAGGCACCGUGAGAAGGAGAAAUGGCAGAGGCCAGGCUCCUGGUGGAGCGUGCGGGGAGGAGCGAGCACCUAGGCACCGUGAGAAGGAGAAAUGGCAGAGGCCAGGCUCCUGGUGGGGCCUGGGUGGAGGGUCAGUGUCUCACUUGGGCUCGCAGCUGGGGAAUUUCCAGGAAGGGGCUCUUCCACCUGGCUUUCCCCAAAGCAGCCCCACCGGGCUUCCCUCCAGUCCUGGGGGCAGGGGCAGGGGAACAGCCUCUGUGACUUCCUUGCUCUGGAUUCUUUGUUUUAAUCCCUGUAAAUUUACAUCCUUAUUUAACCCUAAAAAGUAGAAGCAGAAAGGGAAGUUGAGGCUGGGUGAGUCUGUCGGCUCUCUGGGGUGGGAUCCCAUACGUGUGUGUGUGCCAGUGUCAGGCAUGCAGGGGGUGAGGCUGGGCACGGGAAUGGGCAGCUCGCAGCCAGCCUGGGUGUGCAGGGCGAGUUUGCCAGGUGGAGGCAGCCGGCCAGUGCUGGGUCUGUGCACGGAUGGCCAGAGGCGGCCAGUGUGUGCGCUGCUGGCCCACAUGAAUCCAUGCGUGUGUGCGUGUGUGUGUGUGUGUGUGCGUGCACGUGCAUGUUCCUGGGGUGACUCCCAACAGCCCCCAUCCCCUCCCCGACUCAGUAAGGCGCUCCCAUUUUUCUGACAUUUGUGCGCCUCACGUACCGGCAAGAAGUAAUUUACUUAGAAGAAAUUAAAAGUUCAUGUUAAUCGCGCACACUGCAGUAUGCAAAUGAGGAGCGUAUUAAGCUCACUGAUGCAGAGACGGAGCCCUCAUCAGCACUUAACCCUCUGCACGCCUGCCUCUCGUCAGCACUUAACCCUCUGCACGCCGGCUCCCCUUCUGCCCAGGGUCCAGGCCUUGGAGAGGCCUCCCUGUUCUCAGGCGGAGGGGACGAGCUAUGCCUGGAGCCCUCUCUGAGCUCUCUGCAGAUGCCCAUCCGGCACGUGCACGGCACCCUGGGGAGAGGCACAGGGUCUGAAACCCUCUCAGCUCCAGUCCGAGGCCAUGGGUGGUGACGCUUUGGCCAAGCCCUGGGCUCUCUAUGGGGCAGCCUCCUCAAGACUCCCAACUGGCCUGAGGCCACAGCAGAGAAUCCCCAAGGCCUAACAGGCCGUGCUCACCACAGAGGGAGGCUUCGAGGUGGUGGGUGGUGAGGACGAACCCCUUGCGGUCAAUCCUGCCCCCGCUGCGCCGGCCACAUCAACACUCCUUCCCGGGAAGGGUGGUGCUCGCCCUGCCUGCUUCCCAAGGUGGAGGUCUGCAGGGCGCAGGUCUGUGUCUGGGGCUGCCAUCCACAUAUGCUGUGGCUCAUGUACAGUGACCACCUGCUGCAGGAUGAGAUGGUGGCACCCGCCCCUCCCUGAGAGCGGCACUUCACUGCAGCUCAAGGGCCUGCUUCUGCAGUGAGGGCAGAGCCCCAGGGUGACAGUGUCUCCUGCAGGCCAGGCCCCUCCAUGAGGCCAGCAUCCUGUGCCCUCCCUGUGCUGUCACCUGCCACCCACGUACUACCAUGGACAGGUGUCUCCUCGGAGGUUCAGAGGGGUAAGUGGCUGGACAAAGUCAUGGAGAAAUUUCGAGAAUCAGAGCUGGCGUCUGGCUGGCUCCUGACGCCAGGCCCUGCCCCAUGGCCUCCUUGGGUGUUCAGGGGCCCGUGGGGCCAUGGGACAUGGUGGGGGCACCUGGCCGCCUCCUUCAGCAAGGAAGAGAGAUACAGCAGGGUUCUUCCCAGGCCCUGGUGGAUCUUCCCACAGGGGCUCUUCCUCCCAGCCCAGGAGAGAGGGGUGGCCACAGAAGCCAAAAGAAUUUGCCUAAAGCCUCCAAGGCAGCAAGCCCUGGGUCUCCUGGCCAGAUCAGAGGCUCAGGGCUGGCCAGACCAAGGCGUUAGGUUCUGGCCAUGUGACACGGGUGUGGCACAGCUGUGGCCACCCCGCCACACCUCUGGCAUCGGGAGCUGUGCCUGCAGCCCCUGGCAAGUGGCCGGUAGCCUCUACCCUCGCCUGCCUGCCGCCUGACUUCUUCCUCUGGCACCCGCAUUGGAUGACAGGUCCACACUUAUCCAGCUCACCCCAGAGCAGUGGGGGUGGGGGAGAGAGUCCCCACCCUGUCUCCCCGAGGGGCCUGGCCCUGGGCUGGAAGCGGGGUUCCCGCUGAGCUGUGGCCAUCCCUGGGUGCUGGUUUUCGUGUGAUUUCCCCUACCUGUCAGACCUGGGUGGUGGUGGUGGUGUUACAGAGUCUCGCUCUGUCGCCCAGGCUGGAGUGCGGUGGCGCCAUCUCGGCUCACCGCAAGCUCCG
rnacentral:lncRNA from 1 species